GCCUCAGUAGCCCAGUGGUAGAGCGUUUGCCUAGUAUCCGUUUCCUUCGGUGAUAGCAAAAGGUCCAGUGUUCGACUCACUGUUGAGGCA
rfam:Puccinia graminis f. sp. tritici CRL 75-36-700-3 supercont2.89 genomic scaffold, whole genome shotgun sequence.